CUUCUCUGGAAGGCUCAAAUCACAGCCUACCUAAGGGACCAAGAUCUCUUCUCCUAUGUUGAUGCCUCAUCUCCUUCUCCAUCGGAAUUCUCCCCGGCACUGUAGAGCAGCCGCCCAAAUCUAACCUUGCCUUCUUGGCCUGGAGACACACUGAUUAGCUAGUCCUCAGUGUUCUGUUCUCCUCACUCUCUGAAUCAAUCCUUGGCCACGUGCUCUCUUCCUCAACUUCUCACGAUCUAUGGUGUUCUCUCUCCACCAUGUUCUCCUCUCACUCACAAGCCAAAGAAUUUCAGAUCAUAAAUCAAUUGAUCAAUCUCUCCCAUGGUGACCAAUCCAUCUCAGAUUAUUUUGGAAAAGUUAGGCUUCUUGCUGACUCCAUUGCUGCAACUGGUAAUCCUUUGUCUGAUAAGGAGCUGGUUUCCUACAUCUUAAACGGCCUUGGUUCCCUCCUAUGAAUCCUUUGUCACCUCCAUUACUACCAGAGCAGACCCCUUGAUCACCCAUGAACUAUAUCAACUACUUAUAAUUCAUGAAUAUCGCCUCUCUUAUGUCUCCACAUUUACCUCUCAUUCGUUGGAACUCUCUGCCAAUUUCAGCUCUACUACUGGUUCACAAGGUCGCCCCUUUCACUGCACUGGGAGACAAGGUCGUAGCUGUGGGCGAUACUUUUCUCACAAUCGUGAAGAUGACAAUGCAUCUCAAAACUCAUCCCAGUAGUCCUCAAUCUCUCGACCAACUUGCCAAAUCUGCAACAAGUUUGGGCAUGUGGCACUCCAGUGCUGAAAUAAAUUCAAUCAUGCAUAUUAACAUGAUUCACCCCUCAAUUUUUCGGCAAAUUUCACUGCCUCAAGUUCAUCUUCAGAAAAUGUGUGGUACCCUAACUCUGCCGCCACUCACCAUAUCACCCAUGAUCUGCCGAACCUGAACCUCUCUUCAGAGCAGUACAGUGGUGAUGAUACCAUCAAGGUUGGCAAUGGCUCUGGACUUCCGAUUCAUAACUUCGGAUUUGCAGACGAAGCAAACCAUCCUCACCGGGCCAACCCACGAUGGACUAUAUGUAUUUCCUUCCAUCCCUUCGUCCUCCCCUUCCACUCAUGUCAGUCAGCACGCUUCUCUCCCACAGUGGCAUCGCUGAUUGGGUCAUCCUUCCCUUGCUCUCGUCCGCCAUAUUCUGCACACCAAUUGUUUGAAGCAUUGCUGCUCCGAAGGCUUCCUCAAAUGCCCAGUUUUCCCUUUUGCAAAGUCUCGCCAGCUUCCCUUUCCUUCAAGUCAGGCCAUGUACCAAAGGCCCUUGGAAUUAGUUUGUUUAGAUCUUUGGGGCUCAUCUCCAUUUGUAUCUCGUUUGGGUUGUAAAUACUAUGUUUCCUUUGUAUAUCACUAUACCCGAUUUACGUGGCUAUUUCCUAUUAAACAAAAAUCUGUUGUCAUUCACAUA